GCUGCAGGAGCUCGAGGCAAAGCCGCCCUCCUUGGCUCCUGGAGUUAAUUUAAUUGCUGCUCUCUCUUCUUGGUUGUAGUGCUCAUGAGUAUGGAAGCUCUUAAUGCAGAACAAUUAGGGAUGCAGUUCCCUGCGGAUGGAGCAAUUUCCUGUUUUGCUUUUUUUUUUUUGUUCUGUAUCCAAAACCAGAGGACUGGCUGCAUCUUGUGCCGAAGCCAGGGCCUCCUGAGCUCCUCUGAGAUGGGAAACGCAGACAAAAAACGAGCACGUUUUCACAGAAACGGCACAUCAGAGACCCCGCACUCGUGGGCGCUUGCACUCAGAGCACAGCUGAGCUCUGUUUGCUGGGAAACAUCAAAGUGUGAUUAAAAAAAAAUAGCCUGUCCAUAGCCCUCUCCACCACGCUGCCGGCUUUGAGCCACCUCGGUCACCUUCCCCUCGGUGCUGCGGCUGCCAGCGGUGUCCAGGGGGACACAAAGUGCCCGUGGCGUGCCCAAACACCCCGGGGCUUUGCAGCCAGCUCCCGGGGAGCCUCCCUGCCUCCUGCCCAGCCCCGUGACGCCGUGGCUCGGGGAGCUGAGCUGGCGCUUGCCACCGCGACCUUUGCGCUCUGCGCUCCCGCGGCUCCCCCCAGGUUUGCUCCUCGCCGUGCUCCUGCGAUUCGUGUUGGAAGUGGCCGGGCUUUACCAACAGCUCUGGCUGCUCUCCCCUGCCGGGGCACGACUUUUGGGUGCCCUGCGGGUGAUGGGGAGGCUGCGGGGUGGUCGCAACGCCUCUGCCCUGCCUCGUGUGCGCCUGGCGUGGUGCUGAGCCCUCCCGACGCACGUGGUGCAGGAGGGGGUCGGGAGCUGAGAGGGCCCCAGGGGACCUGUGGGGGCUUUUUCCUGUGUAAAGAAGGCAGCGGUGAGGAUGGUGCAUCUCUGACAGCCCGCUGCUGGUUCCACGUGGAGGUAAGUGGCGAUGUGGCCGUGCCCCUUGCAGCCACAGAUUUCCAUCCCCACGCCAGCGGAGCGCAGCGCGCCGAGGC
rnacentral:lncRNA from 1 species